UACAGAGACUGCAAGCGUUAUUCGGAUUCACUGGGCGUAAAGGGUGCGCAGGCGGUUGUGUGUGUCCGGUGUGAAAGCCCGGGGCUUAACCCCGGAAUUGCGCCUGAAACUACAUGACUAGAGCAUUGGAGAGGGUAGCGGAAUUCACGGUGUAGCAGUGAAAUGCGUAGAUAUCGUGAGGAACACCAGAGGCGAAGGCGGCUACCUGGACAAUUGCUGACGCUCAGGCACGAAAGCGUGGGGAGCAAAAGGG
rnacentral:rRNA from 1 species